CGCAUCAAAAAUCUCCCGGACGCCGUCCUUGGGGAGAUCAUCUCGCUUCUCCCCACCAAGGAUUGCUGCCGCACCCAAGUCCACUCUAUUCGGUGGCGCCCUCUAUGGCGCGCCGUGCCCCUUAAUGUCGACUGUCGUCAGCUAUCUCUCGUUAAUGAUUUUGAAAUCCCCAGAGCCAUCAUCUCCUCCCACCAAGGCUCCGUUCAAAGCCUCUGCAUCCUGUCAUGCUACCUGAGCAAGCAUACCAUGCCUUGCAUGGUGGACGCCUGGCUAAAAUCCCCUGGAUUCACAGAACUACAGCUGCUUGAGUUCUACUAUUCCCCUGGAAAUCACAUACUUCAUACCGAACGACAUGUACUUUUGCCCUUAGCACCGAUGUCCAUCUCGCGGUUUUCCUCCUCUCUCCACACCACCACCUUUGCGUUGUGCUACCUACCAGACAAUCUGGUACUAAACCUUCAACUCCCAUUUCUCAAGAAACUUUCACUUUUGUGGGUUCGUAUAUCGGAGGCCUCAUUGCACAGCAUCAUCCACUCCAGUUGCCCUACCCUGGAGUGCUUGGUGCUUGUUUUCACAGUUAGAAUCGGUUGUCUCCAAAUAAAGUCACCUAACCUUGUAAGAAUUGGAAUUUCUUUUGAUGGAAGGCAGCUCAUUAUCCAAGAUGCCCCUUCACUUCGAAGGUUGAUCCUUGAUUCUAGUUAUUCAGUAUUGCAAAUGACCGUCCUCUCUGUGCCUAAACUGGAGACCUUGGGUGUA
rnacentral:rRNA from 1 species